GACGUAGGGCGCGAGCGUUGUCCGGAUUUAUUGGGCGUAAAGAGCUCGUAGGCGGCUUGUCGCGUCGACUGUGAAAUCCCGCGGCUCAACUGCGGGUCUGCAGUCGAUACGGGCAGGCUAGAGUUCGGUAGGGGAGACUGGAAUUCCUGGUGUAGCGGUGAAAUGCGCAGAUAUCAGGAGGAACACCGGUGGCGAAGGCAGUGAUCUGGGCCAGUACUGACGCUGAGGAGCGAAAGCGUGGGUAGCAAACAGG
rnacentral:rRNA from 1 species